UAUAAUAUGCCAUAUUACUACAUUUGUAAAAUAACAUAAUUUAAUAGCAAAAAAAAUUGCUGGAAAUUCUAAUUUUUUCGUGCCUCUGUUUUUAGAGUUCACGCACUUUAUACUCACUCAUUUCGGACUUCAACUGUAUGGAUAGCUCCUUUCGUUUCCCUGGGGCACGGUAUCUCUCCUAGUACCAAUGACAGUUAUCAUUUCUACCAAUAGAACGAUAUUGCUUCAUGACUCGACAUUCCACUACAAUUUGAAUGCUCAACACAGAUUGUGCUAAGAUAUGAAACAUAAGGAGCAUGGUUCCUGUGGUUUAAGCAAAGAAAUUCUAUGUCGUUCUAGUUUUUGAGGAAGCCUAGGCUUGCGUAUUUUUAUGCUGCGAAGUCGAUCAAAUAAGUUAAAUGAUAUCUGUUAGGUGCAGGAAGUUAACCUUAGGUGAACGACAAUACCAGACCACUUAUAAAACCUUACCAAAGUUCAUGAUCAUAAGUGAAUAACCGUAUUAUGAUAAUUCUAUUAUUUUUAUGUAUAUCUACACAAGGUUCGGCUAGCUAAAAGUUAUGAAAACUCUAUUCCAACCACUGCAGAAUAUUGAUUUAAUUAAUCUCAUAAAGCUUGUUAGUAUAAAAAAGCGCUAAUUCUAGCAUUGUCACAACAUUAAGCGGCAUACUAAUGUUAACUACAAAAAAACCUGUUUCGAAUACCGAAGCCCUUAUGUUGAAAUAAUAC